GAUGUGAAGGCAGUCUGGUUGUGAUAUCUGGCACCUUGUUGGUCACUGAUACUUUGGCUGAUCCAGCUGGCUGGGUACCCCCUCUUACUCCUUUAUGAAUC
rnacentral:sRNA from 1 species